GAAUGAAAUGUUGCCAUGUUUUUAUUGAACACACCAUGUAAACAUUCACAGUGCAGGUGGAAAAAGUAUGUGAACAUUUGGAUUUAAUAACUGGUUGAACCUCCUUUGGCAGCAAUAACUUCAACCAAACAUUUCCUGUAGUUGCAGAUCAGACGUGCACAACGGUCAGGAGUAAUUCUUGACCAUUCCUCUUUACAGAACUGUUUCAGUUCAGCAAUAUUCUUGGGAUAUCUGGUGUGAAUCGCUUUCUUGAGGUCAUGCUACAGCAUCUCAAUCGGGUUGAGGUCAGGACUCUGACUGGGCCACUUCAGAAGGCGUAUUUUCUUCUGUUUAAGCCAUUCUGUUGUUGAUUUACUUCUAUGCUCUGGGUCAUUGUCCUGUUGCAACACCCAUCUUCUGUUGAGCUUCAGCUGGUAGACAGAUGGCCUUAAGUUCUCCUGCAAAAUGUUUUGAUAAACUUGGGAAUUCAUUUUUCCUUCGAUGAUAGCAAACCGUCCAGGCCCUGACGCAGCAAAGCAGCCCCAAACCAUGAUGCCCCCACCACCAUACUUCACAGUUGGGAUGAUGUUUUGAUGUUGAUGUGCUGUGCCUUUUUUCACCACACAUAGUGUUGUGUGUUUCUUCCAAACAACUCAACUUUGGUUUCAUGUGUCCACAGAAUAUUUUGCCAGUACUGCUGUGGAACAUCCAGGUGCUCUUGUGCAAACUGUAAACAUGCAGCAAUGUUUUGUUUGGACAGCAAUGGCUUCCUCUGUGGUAUCCUCCCAUGAAAUCCAUUCUUGUUUAGUGUUUUACUUAUUGAUGUUACCAGGGAUGUUUUACGUAUUGAUGUUACAGGGAUGUUAGCAUUUGCCAGUGACUUUUGUAAGUCUUUAGCUGACACUCUAGGAUUCUUCUUCACCUCAUUGAGCAGUUUGCACUGUGCUCUUGCAGUCAUCUUUACAAGACGGCCACUUCUAGGGAGAAUAGCAGCAGUGCUGAACUUUCUCCUUUUAUAGACAAUUUGUCUUACAGUGUACUGAUGAACAGCAAUGAGAUACUUGUAUAACCGUUUCCAGCUUUAUGCAAGUCAACAAUUCUUAAUCGUAGGUCUUCUGAGAGCUCUUUUGUGCAAGGCAUCAUUCACAUCAGGCAAUGCUUCUUGUGAAAAGCAAACCCAGAACUGGUGUGUAUGUUUUUUAUAGGGCAGGGCAGCUGUAACCAACACCUCCAAUCUCAUCUCAUUGACUGGACUCCAGUUGUCUGACAUCUCACUCCAAUUAGCUCUUGGAGAUGUCAUUAGUCUAGGGGUUCACAUACUUUUUUCACCUGCACUGUGAAUGUUUACAUGGUGUGUUCAAUAAAAAACAUGGCAACAUUUCAUUAUUUGUGUGUUAUUAGUUUAAGCAGACUGUGAUUGUCUGUUGUUGUGACUUAGAUGAUGAUCAGAUCACAUUUUAUAACCAAUUUGUGAGAAAUCCAUAUCAUUCCAAAGGGUUCACAUACUUUUUCUUGCAACUGUAUAUGCAGCUCAGUGUAUUGGCACAUUUUGCUGAAAUGUCUAAUGCAGACCCUAUGAUUUUAUUUUCAAGUGAAUAAUAAAACUGAAAAAUGAUUGGAGAUCAACGUUUUACAGAUAGGUCAUGUGACAAAAGCCAUUUUGCCACUGGGUUUUGGAGGGGGCUACUUGCCAGCCUUUUACCCUGUGACUAUGGCCUAUUUAAUUUAUUUUGGCUGAGAGGUCCUAAUUGUGCCUAUUGGCACUUUACACAUUGUGAAGGGGCCGCCAUUUGACAUUCAAACACGUGGUAGCAGCCAUCUUGUUCGCAUGGACUAAGACCAUGAAUAGACUUCAGGGAGACUUAGCCGCGAAUGCCCUGGAAUUAUUUUUGGCAUGAAAACCUCGCGGUUCCCGGUCGGUCCUCCAACGGCACUUAGCUGCAAAUCUAUGGAACUGUUUUGGGCAUGAAAUCCUGGAUUUGCCUGGGCAAAAAUAUAACUUCCCAAAAAUUUCUGAACCCCUGAUGUGAUCUGGGUGAUUUUUGGAUAUGUUGUUCACCCAGAUCAGGGGAUGUAACAUUUAUGGGGGUAUGUCGUGUUGUGGGGUACUUAUGGUACUUUAUAAAAAUGCGUAUUUUUUCUGCCUUGAGAUAAUUACGUUAAUGCAUUAACUACCUUAAUUAUAUCACAGGUAGAGGGGAGGGAUUGUUUACUGUAUGUGGGAGUGUCGGUCAUUGUUAUAUUGUUCUUUUUGGUCUGUACAGUUUGUAAUGCGGUGCUCCAUCAGGUCCAGGGCGUGUGCCUCUGGCCUGUGGAAUUGUAUAUUAAGCCAACCUGUACCAUUAAACCUUCAGACUUCUUCACCCUCAAUACUGAGUUCUGUCUCUGAUUGUAGGAAACCGCUAUAUCACUAUCAGGGCUUGCUAUACUCAGUAUACUCCCUGGGAUAAUCACUAGCUCUUGUAAGAGCUGUUCCUCAUACGCUUUCCUGGAGGAGAGGUCUUUCCCACACAGUCCUGGAAGUCAGCGGUUGGUCCAGGGUGGGAGAAAGACGAUGAGAUUCCAGUUAAGCUAUGGUGGCUAUGGAGUCUGCAGUGCUUGUGGUGUCUGGUGCGGUGCUUAUAGUCCUCAGCAUCACAGGUCAUAUUGAGAUGGAAUAGGCAUACAAUUUAGGAACCUUCGAUAAAAGUUCUUAAUAAAGAUUUUGACCUAUGUACCUUUUCAUAUAUUUGUAAUAUAUAUGUUUCAUACAGUAUGUGUUAUGAUGUAAAAUAGUGAGAGUGUGUAGCGCUAAGCAGUAUUCACUUACUCCCCAAAACUGUCUAGGGGUGUAGAGGGUAGAUAGGUUGCUGUGAAAAUAAUGGAAAAAUAUAUAGUGUAUUCCGAUAUAUAAAUGGGAAUAUACACUCUAUAUUAGAAAGCACUCACAUGGUAUAGAGCCUAUUAAGGGCAGGCUCUAAUCACUUUCGCUUGUGUGUACAUAAGGUGACACACACACUUUGGAUCCAAAUCCUGGAUGUUCCUCAGCGAUAAAGAGAAAAAAAAACAGGGAAUACACUAUAUAUUUUUCCAUUAUUUUCACAGCAACCUAUGUACCCUCUACACCCCUAGACAGUUUUGGGGAGUAAGUGAAUACUCCUUAGCGCUACACACGCUCACUAAUGGCAUAUCUAUUGUGUAAAUAGUGUUUCUUUUUACAUUGUAUUAUAAUAGGAUUGGGGAGUUCCUAUUUUUUGUUUGGAAGCUGCUACAAUCAAAGGAGCACCUUUAAAUUGUAUUUAAGCGCCUAACAGCACAGAACACCUUGUUGAUUAGUAUGUGUUAUGAACUCAUAAAUACUAUCUUUCAUUAUAUACACCCUUUUUUUUAUUUCUACCAUUUUUUUUCUCUUUUUUUCAUUUAGUGGAUGAUCCUCUUAAUACAACAAAACAAUGCAUUUUAAUUAUUUUGCAGUAGGUACUAGAUAAUCAAACAUACUACAUGAAUGUUAUGUACUCUCUUGCUAUUUGAGUACAAAUGAAUAUGUAACAUUAGUUAUCGCAAUUGUAACUAUUUGGACUUGCAAUUGUAACCAUCUGAACCCACAAUAUGCUUUAAGAGGACUUAAAGAAACACUAUAGGCACUUAGACAACUUCAGCUCGUUGAUGUGGUCUGGGUGCAAUGUCCCUGUCCCAUUUAGUCCUGCAAUGUAAACAUUGCAGUGCUAAGACAGACAUUCUGUGGCUUUUACAAACUUGUGGCCUACUUCAAACAUUAAACACAUAAUUAAAACAUCUUGUGAGCCCACUCUUACAGAUUAACUCAUUUGUAUGUAUUUGAAUCUGAACAAACACAUUAUAUAGCAUUUGUAUUGUAUACAAAAUGUCACAUCUUCCUGCAGUGCAACGUUAAAGAGAAUAAUAAAAGGUACUGUUUCCUCAACAGUCGAAAAGAGGAGACUUUGGCAUGAAACAGAAAGACAAUAAAAAGAGCACUAAGGAAAGAAAAAGAGAAGAGAAAUGUGACAGUGAGUGCCAGACCCCAACCCACGAAAGGAAAAUAGACAGUAAUAUCAAUGAACAGCCUCCCAUAGAAGCCAUGUUUUUCUAAAAGUUUGAAAAGUAUUCCUGACAUCACAUAGUUGUCUUUAGACUUGAGCAAGACCAUCUCUACAGAAGGUAUCUCAGUGCUUAACCAUGGUUGAGCUAAAACUUCUCUGGCUGCUAACAUUAUUUUAUCAAAAUGUGUUGGCUCAACAGUAGGCAUACUCUCCAUAAGUUUAGAAAAUGGAUAAACCCAAAGAUCUAAUCUCACCAAAACCCUGUGUCAAGAGGUCCCAGAAAGUGUCAAUUAUGGUGCAAAACCACCACAUAUGCCCAUUACAUUACAACACGUUCAUCGAAAAUGAUAAUUCAGGUAAAAAAAAAGGUAUUUUUGUAAAAGAAAGUCACAUUUCACAUUUGCUGAAAACAGCAACAUGAAUAGUUGGUGUAAGACUUACCAAAGAGGUUUUGAUUUGACAUGGCAGGUGAGCUUACACUUGAAUGGCCAUUGGAGUGAGCCUUAAAAAAACCUCCAUGUACUUAAAUGUGCAUAAGGAUUUGCUACCAGAUCCAUAUUUGGUAAGUACUUGGAAUAGUCUGCUGAGGUCAGAGUUGUGCUGCGUUGAAAUUCAGAGAAUGAGACAACUGAAUCAUUAACAGCAUGACUUUUUAUUUGCAGUGAUAAAAUGUUAUUGAUUAGAAAUUAUAUUUUAAUGAUCUAGAUAUUACAGCAAGACAAGCACAAACCUAUAAGCCAAACAUAUAGGAACAGAAAUGUAAUGCAGGUAUUUUAGCAAUAAAAACACUUUGUAUCUCAGAGUAAAUAGUACAAAUGCAAAUGGCAAUAAACACAUCAGAAACCAAAAUAUUACAAAACUGGCAAAUAUAGCAAUAGCGACAAAGAGAAGAGAAAGACCCCUUACUUAGCCAGAUAUUGGUUAUAGAAAUAUAGCGGUUCUGUCUCUGCUGAUUAUUGUUAUUGUCAUAUUUUCAGGGAUUGUAAUAUUUUGAUUUUGAUUUGCUUAUAUAUUAAUUGCUGUUUGUAUUUUUACAAAUAAAGUGUCCUUUGUACGUAUUAGAUGUUAUAUUUACAUAUAUUGAUAUAUAGGUAAAUUGUGAUGUGCGUAUGGGAUACUCUCUAUUUCAGAAACUUAUUUUGCUAUUUUUAUUGUGCAUUUGGGAUCACGUCGUAUCUGAUUUACUUUUAUUAUUUGUUAAAUAUGUUUCCAUCCAUCUAACUCUAUAGUAGAAUAAAUAUAGAAUUAGACUUAGUAAAAUUAAGAAUUAACUAAUUACAUUUACGUUCCAUUUGUUCCUAAAUGUUGAAGGUGAAGAGCAGUUAUUAUGAUACCUAUAUCUACAAUGUUUCAUUCUAGAGAAUUGGCGUUUGUGCAUAGUACAUAUAGAGUAAGCUGCAUAAUCUGUAUUUUUUUUCUCAUCCAUUAAGAUGUGUUUUACGUUGUUAAUAGCAGUCUUUUUACUCUGUGAUUUCUAUUCAGUUCCUGCUCGUGUUUCAUCCUUAAGAAUGCUAUUCAGAUCAGAAUCUAAAUUUUUUGACAACUACUUGGCAAGCGUAAAAGUCAUUAAAAUGUAAUUUUAUUCACAUCCACAGCAGUCUAUAGGUUUUGUGUAAGGUUUACUACAAUGAAAAAACUUUUCUUCCAGUUCUCUAGUUCCUGGCAGGGAUUUCAAUUUCAGUAUGCAGAUCAGAUCAGAAGCACAGCCGUUAACACUGCAAUGCUUAAUAAAGCCAUCUGCAAAACAGACAGUAUAAUGAGUCAGAUUUAAUCAAUAACUUGUUCUAAAGGUAACCUUUAAUAUAUAGUGAAAUAAUAUAUUAUUGAACACCUGGGACAUAAGAAAUGUUCUACAUAUCAAUGUUCCAGUUUCACAAAGAGUAAGCAGCUUCAUUGUGUCAAAUUUUAUAUCUGUGUAGAGUGUGUUAGGCACAAGGGGAUGGGUGGGUCUAGUGUGGAGAGGAGUUAGGAGAGGGGUAGUAAGAUUGGAAUAGGAAGGGACAAUGUUUUAUCAAGUGGAAUAGGACAAGGUGGCAACUACUAAUUAGGUUUCAGAAUUACAGGGUAGCGGAGGAGCCUAUUUUUAUUCCUUUGGUCGCAACAAAAAUCUGAUAUCACAGUAUUAUCAUUAUUUUGAUUGUAUUUAUUAAAAUGUUCUAAAAGUGUUAGUUUUCUUCAUAGUAAGUUCUGGCAAACUUUGUAGGAAUGCAAGAUGCAGUGUGCAUUUUGUGGGGGAGACUGUGCAUGAUGUGUGGGGAAUUUAGAGUGUGUAGUAUUGUGUAGAUAAUGUAGUAUACGUUUAGCGGAAGAGGCUAUGUGUGUUGUGUGGAGAAUGUAUUGUGUGUUUAGUUGGGGAGGAUGUGUCUCUUGUGUGGGAUAUAAAUGCACAAUCAUAUAUUUACACUGUUCACUUUACUAAAUGCAUAUUUUGUCAUAUUGUUCCAGAUAUAAUAUUCCCAUUACCUGAUUUUUCUACUAUUCCUUGAUAGGAUAAACAACUAAACUGAUUUCCACGACAUGCCACUCGAUCUCUGGAAGCACAUCCAUCUGUCGAGUUGCUUCUAAAGCAAGACUCACAGUAUUUUCCAUUUGGUGCACCCAAGCUCUCCUCGUUUGCAUCUGAAAGUAAUGGGAUAAUCUAAGCAACAAAACACCCAAGAAUGUCAUCUUUUUAAAGUGAUUUUCCUUGCAAAUGAAAACAGUGUCAUAUGUAAGAAACAGCACUAGUUACAAUUUACAAUGUGCACGUCUACUCAUAGCUGUCAGAAAAACAGCUGCUGAUGGCUUCUGGCUUCUGGCAGAAAUAGAUUCAGUUAUUGAGUUAAUUUGACAUCCAAUAUACAUGUAAAAUAUGCUCACACUGAAUGCUGUGUGCAUCCAAUGCUUCUGAUGAAAAAAAGCCAGUCGUUUUUUUUACCAGCUAUAACUCAAAGGGUGCUGUGAAGUUUUAUAGUGCAUUUAUACAUUCAAAAUUAUUUUUCCCAGUUUCCCAAAAAUGGUCAAAUUAUUUUGCAAUGUUUGUAUUCACACUUGGGUUCCUGACAGGCAUUUAGGCUCCUCUUUGGCCAUUGAUGUGUAUCUGGCUUUGGCAGAGGUACCGGAUGCUGAGCUUGCUGGCCAUUUACUGGCUGAGAGGAUUAGCAAAUUAACGUAAUUCUGUGCAUAGUAUUGACAUUAGUCACCCAGGGUAUACCCUGAUCAAUAAAAUAUUUUUUCAAAAGAGACAAAAAUGUAUUGCAUCCAAUUCCCUAUUUUUUUUAUUUUUUAUUGUAUUCUCGGUUAUUUAUAUAUUUUAAAUAAAAAAACCUCUUACCAACUAUAUAAUAUUUUUUGCUAGAGAUAUCUGUAUGGUCUGUCCUGCUUAAUUCUAUGCUUUAAGACUUUAUAGUGGUAUUUACAAUGCACAUAUGGAGUUUAAACUUUUUGCCACCACGGUAGUCCCGGGAUGGCUAAUGUCAACUCUGCUGAAAGGGAGUUGACUCCCUUUGCUGACCCUCCGAGCCAGUAAAUGGCCAGCAAGUGCAUGCCUGGAGUAGCCCUUUAAUCUCAGAGAUGAGUGUCUUUAUUUUAUACAUCUCUUAAAAUUGGACUCUUGUAUAAAUUAUACUGUACCAGUAAGAAUUAUACCAUUUUAUGGUUAUAAGCUUAAUGUUUACUUUGAUACAUUCGUUCUUUGAAGAAAUGAUCAAUCUAACCUAAUACAAAUCUUAAAAAUUGGCAAUUGAUAUGGGUUCAAAUUAAUGAAAAAAAAAUAUUUUUUAUAGCUGUUUACAUAUCCUGCAAAACAUUUAAAUAAAUAUCUGAGUGUCUUAAAAUACUUACAAGUAAAUUUUGUUCCUUGGUUACAUAGAUCUCCUACACAAUGCUCAAUGUUGACAUGAGUUGACAUUUGAUCUUUGUCAGUGAUAGACAACAAGUGACUUCUAUCCAUUCCUUCAGCACAUCCUUUUUUUAUUGAUGGCAAAUAGUGAUUGGCUUUAGAUAGAAAAAUUGUCAUUCAGUUUUAAAAAUGCGUAUUUUUGGUAUAUAGAUCAGACAAACACAUAUGUUGAAAAAAAUGGAAAUUGACAUCUCUAAAGGAUCCCAGAACAAUUUGAGUUUAUAGUUAAAUCUAUUAGAGAACUUUUAAAGUGUAUUUUUUCUUCUUGACAUUCUCAUGGUAUACAAUAAUUCACCUAUUUCUUCUUAAGCAGAAGAAGAGGUGUUUUAAAUUCCAAAUCCUGCUCUUGUCCCUAGACUCCCCAGUGAGGACCUACUUAUUUGAUAUAGGCUGACUUGAGACUUAUUUUUGGCCAUUGUGUCAUGUUUUGUCUUGUCUUUGUGCAAAUUCGUUGUUUUAUCAGUGUGUGGUUUUUUUCACAGGGAUUAUAAUUAUUUUAUGCUGUGGUAUUCCUUUGGCUUUUAUGCAUUACUCUGAAAUUGUUUGUGCAUUUUCCAAAUUAUGUUUAUACUGAGCUUUUGUUGUAAACCACAUGAUAAACAUAUGGAUGUCAUAUUGCAAAGGAUGUAUAUAUUUGGUUACAAGUAUCUACUUUUAAAUAUUUCAUGAGUGCCAUAGACCCCCACGUUGUGUACAUUAAGGAAGAGCUAUGUACCUCUAUGACUUUGUUUCUCCAUUAAAUGCAUAGAUAGCUUUUUUUUUUAUACACCAUCAUUAACCACUUUGCACUUGAGUUUGUUUUGCAGUAAUUGAAACACAUUCACACUGCCUAAGUGAAACAGCCUAAUGUUCAUUAAAGGAACACUACAGCGUCAGGAACACAAACAUGUAUUCCUGACCUUAUAGUGUUAAAAACACCAUCUAGCCCCUCCUGCCCCCUCUCCUUGCAUCCCUAAAUAUAGAAAAAUCUUACAUGUAUUCAAGUCUGCAGCUGCUGCCUCUGCCCCUGAUCUGCCUGCUUGGGUGACAUCAUCAGAAGUGAUUCUGUGAGCCACAAUGCUUUCCCAUAUGAUUGUCUGGACUGUCAGAGCCAGCACAAGCCAGACACAGCCCUGGCCAAUCAGCAUCUUCUCAUAGAGCUGAAUUGAAUAAAUGCAUCCCUAUGAGGAACGUUCAGUGUCUCCAUACAGAUAGUGGAGACACCAUAUGACAGUGCUGCACAGAAGCAGUGGAAUAGAAAUAUAUGACUGUAAAGAGGAGAGAUGCUUAAGAGAGGUGGGUAGAAACAGAAUGUGUUUGGUAGAGAAAGGAAGAAAACUUGGAAAUGAAUACUUAUGGCAAGACACAGGCAAAAGAGAAAUGGAGAAUGUGGAAUAAUUAGAUUUGUACAAAAAAGUGGAAAGACUGAGGGGGACAGUGCUAGCGUAAGUGUGAGGCAGCCAUGAUGGCCUUUUUAGUGUGUCCAAGGUGGGAGUGCAAAAACUUCUCCAUGCUUUCUCUGCCCAAAUAUGGCAUCGUUAUGGUACCAGAGAACUGUAGACACACUGUGUGCUGGCUGCAGAGUUCACUUGUGCGCCUUGUAGAGCUAGGGUGUAACAUCACUUUGGCUUCAUCAUAACUACUAGGGAAUUGUUCAAGCAGAGUAUUGUGAUUCCAACAGUCUCCACUAACCAUCAGGGAGAGGAUCCACUUCAGCUCUCAUAGUUUUGGGAGAGAGAAGAGGUGGUCCUCUUAGAAAGACAAAUAAAUAAUACUAAUUGAAUGUGAAUGUGUGUAUGUAUGCGUGUGUGUAAGAGUUAAUAAUGUGCAUUGAAAUAAUUUUAAUUUUGGUUCGGUCAUUCUGAAAAUUAUUUCUCACAUUUAUUUAAAUAGUCCAAAACUGGAUAAAAAUGUUUAACACAUUUCUGACGAGCCAUUAAUCUCUGUGGAAAUUAAUGAAGCAAAAAGGUAAGAACAAUUCCUAAUGUGGGAUUAUUAAUACACUCAGAACACCAGCAGGUGUUGAAUGAAUGAAUGGCGCUGAAUAUAAUUCGUUCCAGGUCCAUUACUUUGUUAGAAACAAUAGAAAAAUGGAUCAGCGCUAAGUUCUUCUAUCUCCACUUGGAAAAGUCACUUUGGUGAAAUGCGUUAUGCAAAUUUUAUAUUGUUUAUUUUAUAUCAAUAAAGGUAUUUUGGCUACUUCCUAUCGUGUGUGCCAUUUUACUUUUUUAUUUGUUACUAUUUUAUAUUUUUACAUUCUACCCGGCAUCCGAUUUCACUGAUCCAAUGAGGACUACUCCUAAAGAAUCCUAAAUUGGGAUUAUACCACUUACGCCUACACAUGGAGCAGUCUCCCUGCUCAAUUAAAUGUAAGUAGCCAUUCAUUAUUUUAUACUCCUGGUACCUUUUAUGCUGUGAGCACUAUUGUUGUCUCUUUUAUACUUUUUAUGGUCUUUAUACAGACGAAACACCUGUCUAUCAACCUCUCGUCAUGUAUCUUUUAAGUAGGGAUUGUACCACAGUACGCUAUUCAUACUAGAGCUGGGUGUAAGCUCUAACAAAUGUGAGUAGGACCAUAAAGACUUAUUUUAUUGUUAUUACUUUUCUCUGGGAUAUGCUGCACCCUUAGUUUUUUCACUCUGUUUUUAUAUACGGCUCCAUAGGAUACAAUGAUCUAGCUCUUUUAUAGAAUAAUUUCCCUGACAUAACUCAGGCUAUAUCUUCUAGCAAGUUGUUUAUUGGGACUUUAUAUUGGACAUUUUACUGUUAUUAUUCUGCUUUGGUCUCUCUUAAUAUAUUGUUUCUGAUUCAUACAUUUUUUUUUUUACUAUUUUUACUAUAACCUCCAUUCCCCAUUACUUUAUUUAGUUGUUCUUAAUGUUUUGAUCAUUAUAAGUUUUUAGAUAAACUGAACAAAAAAAAAAAAUUCAUUAAUUUUUUUAUUUGUACGAAAACAAAUGCACAGGUCUACUAAGAAUAUGUGCUUGAUUAUAUGUUUGUAAGAUUAUGUAUCAGUAGCUUAUGUAAGAAUGUUUAUAUAUAAUCACAUUACUGAAUAUCUCAGGUUUUGUUUUUUGUUUGUUUGUUUUUUUGAAGAGUAGGGAUCACUUAUCAAAUUCAGCCUCUACAUCUGCAGCAAAAGUAAAUCCAGCCCUGUUUGUGAGCUCUGCAGAUGUGCGAGUCACAAUUGUGCAGCUCUCACACAGACAUCAUUUGUGCUAGAUAACAACCUCAUGAUAUUUGUGUGAGAGAAACACAAUUGUAUGCAUGAAGCAUAUAAGGAUCUUGAGAUGUGUAAAGAGUGUGACAAGUGGGUGAGGGGUAAGUGGCAAAAUGUAUCUUUGUCUGUGUAGCCAAAAUGCCUUGUCCUGCCCUGGAUGUUUUGCAACUCACCUGCUUAAAUAAUAAAUAAAGUAUUACACAGGAAUACACACAUAUAUGUGCAAUGUAGAAAAAACACACUGAUAGGCAUUAUGUUACACACGAACAUAUACAUAUAACACACAUACAGAUGAUUUAUAAAUAUAUAUUUGCAUUUAUACAAACUAUCACACAUGCACACAAAUUGUAUGCAUAAUAAAAUGUUCUAUGGUUUUAGUGGUAGUCUUCACGGGUGCAUUAACAUGGAGGUGUUCUUGCGGGAUUGAGAGGGAAGUUGAGGGACAAAUGUUUAAAGUAGACUGAUGUUUGCUAUAACUGCCUGGGUCUAUAUUUAUUUAUAGUCUAGUGCUAAGGAGCAGGGAGGUGGAGAAUGAUUUGUGGAGAGGAAAUUGCAUGGAAGGAAAAUGACAAAUGGAAGAGUUUGAGUAAAUUGGAAUGGGAAAAUGUCAUGGUAAGGGCAAAGUUGAGGGGAAAAGUGAAGUGAAAAAAUUAAAUGUUAAGGAUAAGGACAUGUUAAGUAGGCAUGGAAAGUGACAAUGAGAGAGACAGUGACAUCAGGAAGAGAAAAUUAAAAGAAAUGAACAGCUCUACAUUCACACAUACACAGAAACUCCACAUAUACACCCCAUAUUUACACCCAUUGAAAAACACUCCACAUACACAUACUGCAUUCACACAUAUAUACCAAUCAUCCAUACAUACACUGAUAUUCCUUGCAAAUAUACUAGUAGAUUAACACACAAUGACCCUCCAUACAAAUACCCUCUACAUUCAUACGCACAGUUACCCUCUACACAAAUACAACCUACAUUCAUAUACACAAAUACACCUUAAAUACAUAUACACAAAAACACCACACAUUCAUACACAAGGUAACUACUCCCAAAUACUAUAUACAUUCACAUACAAAGUUUAAUUUCACAUAAAUGCACCCUUAUAUUCACACACAGUGACACACGACAAACAUACAACCAUGCAAUUAAACAGUGACACUCCACAAACAUACACCCACACAUUUACACAUCCAGUGACACUUCACACAACUAUUUCACUAAAUGUAUGGUGCAGUUAUAUUUAUUAAGUGGUCUUGCAUAGCAAGACCACUUAAUGUUAUCUCACAUAUUUAUUAUUAUUACAAUUAUUAAGUGUUCUUGCAUAGCAAGACCACUUAAUGUUAUCUCACAUAUAUAUUAUUAUUCUUUUUAUAGCCAAAUUUACCACCCUAACUCCUCCCACAGUUUUUACACUACAUAGACAGUAAUAUACUGAAACGUACGGAUUGUUCCCAAUUGGUGUGCUAUUACUUUGUGGAACGUUUCGCCGAAUCGUUCUUCUUGCAAAAUUGGUCCCAUAGGAAUGAAUGGCAAAAUGUUCCAAACAAGAGUGGGAGCUGGCAAAAGCUGAAAAUCAGGACCUGUGCCAGGCUGGAGCAGCAAGUGAUGUCAUAGACAGGACCUUUUAUACACCUGCUAAUGUUUUUAUAAAUGUAUGUUUUAAUGUAACUGUGAAGCACUUUGGGCAACAACGUUGCAAUUAAACGUGCUAUAUAAAUAAAUAUUAACAGUUACUCCGCCCACUCCAGUUGUAGACUACUGGGGGAGGCAAGACCACUUUACACAAUUUCCCCAGAAAUUGUAGCUUUUCUAGUUUCUGUUAACCUUUAUUAUACAUUCAUACACAAAACAUCACAUCACAGAACCUCACAAUAUACAUACAAUAACUGGCAUUGCUGGUGAGUGUUUUUUUUUUGGUUUUUUUAAAUAUGUUCCAGUUAUAUACUCUUCCAUCAUGAGACUGGGCUAUGGAUCCAACCCUGAGUACAGUUCAUUUUAUGCAGUCAAACAAUCCGCAUGUCCAUAUUCUGCUGCAGGAAAAUGUACUUACUGGAAUUACAGUUUUCAGAUAUGGUCAAACAACCUGCAUCUCCACAUUCCACUAUGUUGUUUUCAUUUUCACAGGUAUAUCCAUUUCGGGUAAGGCAAUCAACACAUCUGGAACCAUAACCUAAAGAAAUAACACUUUAGGUUGCCAUAUUUAAGUAGCAUGGUCACAAUUAUUCACUUUGAGUUUAGACUUUGUAAAUAUUAUUUAAAAUAGAAAGGGAAUAUGUUUGAGGAACUAGGACAAGUAGGUAAUAGAAUAUGUGGAAAAACAAUAACGAAGGCAAGCCUCACAACAAAUCGAGCAACUCAAAAUAGAACAGUAUAAAAAAUAUAAAAUGUAGAAGCACUUUAAAAAAAAUGUUUUUACUUUUUUUAUAUAAACAUCUAAGCAGGAACAAGAAAAAUAGUGUAUGAAAUGCAACGCUAUUUUAAGAAAGAAAUCUCCCGUCCUUAUCACAGGUGCAAACCACAGUUUGGUCAGCCUUCAAUAUAUUGAACAUAAUAUAUUAUAUGUUAUAUAUGUAAUGUAUUAAUCUAUAUAUGAAAUUGAAGUCUGACCAAUUUUCAGGUUUUACACAGCUGUGAUCGGUGCCUAAAUAUCUUUAUUAUAGACUGUAACUAAAUAUCCAAUAUUUGACCUUAUUCAAGUAUUUUUAAAUAAUAUUUAUAUAAAUACACACACAUUUGUUACCAAACUUGUCUAAUAAAAACAAACAUAUAAUGUAGAUAUUGCAUAUCCUUAAUCAGGUUAUAAGUCAAAUAUUCACAGAACUAGUUACUAACUAGAAUUAUUCAUUAAAAUGAGAAUUGCUGGGAAUGCAAAGUUAAAUUAUAAUUUAAAAUCCAAAAUAUUCAAACUGGAAGUGAAGCUAACUUAAAUUUUUUCCAGUUUGGUUAUUUUGGCCUUCAAGUUUAAACGUUUGAAUUUUUAAUCAAUUCCCACUUUAUUGAAUAACCCUGAUAAACUUGAAAUAAAAUUAGAAAAUGAGGCAAAAGGUAAUGCAAUACAUGUUAAUCCCUUAGUGACCAGACCGUUUUUCAAUUUUCUUACCAGGACCAGUGCUGUUUUUACAUUUCUGCAGUGUUUGUGUUUAGCUGUAAUUCUCCUCUUACUCAUUUCCUGUACCCACAGAUAUAUUAUAUACAGUUUUUCUCGCCAUUAAAUGGUUUUUCUAAAGAUACCAUUAUUUUCAUCAUAGCAUAUAAUUUACCAUAAAAAAAUUAUAAAAUAUGAGGAAACAUUUUUAAAAACACAUUUUUUCUAACUUUGACCCCCAAAAUCUGUUACACAUCUACAACCGCCAAAAACCACCCAUGCUAAAUGCUAAAUAGUUUCUAAAUUUUGAAAUUUAGAAAUACCCAAUAUCAACAUGUUCUUAGUUUUGUUUUGUUUUUUUGAAAACUAACUCUGGACAGUGUUUGUGACUAAAUGGCUACUAAAAAAGACUGAACAUACCCAAUUUGCAAUACCUUGGGUUGUCUUUUUUGCCAUCAUGGGUGUAAUUCUCACUCCUGGGCUGCCAUUCGCUCUCAAGGACAACAUAACCAAUCUUGGAAAUUUCAAUGUGAAAAAAAAACGGAAAAUCAAGUCGUAUAUUCGAUCCUGUAACGUUCAAAAACACUAUAAAAGCUGUACAUGGAGGGUGGGGGAGGGGCUCCUGUUAUACUUGGGAGACUUCACUGUGCACAAAUAUUAGUUUUUCAAAACAGUAAAACAUAACAAAACAAUGAUAUCAUCAGUGAAAGUGCUGUUUGUAUGUGAAAAUGCAAGAAAUGUCACUUUUACUGACAAUAUAAUUGCUAUGAUAUGUAUUACUGUUUUGAAACACUAAUAUUUGUGUUCAGCAAAGUUUCCCGAGUAAAACAAUACCCCCAUUGUACAGAUUUUAGGGUGUCUUGGAAAGUUACAGGGUUAAAUAUAGUCCUAGCAAAUUAAAUUCUCUGGACUUUUGGUCUGGGUUGUCAGGCAGGUCCCCCAAAAUGCAAUCAAUAAAAUUACUUAAUUAUGUAAAAAUAUUACAUAAUAUUUUAUUACAUAAAUAUGCAUGUAUAAUUUAAAUACAUAUGCAUAUUUAUAUAUUUGAAGUCUACGUGUAUAUUUAUUUUUUCGUAUUAUUUUUAUUUAUUUAUAUAUAUAUAUAUAUAUAUAUAUAUAUAUAUAUAUAUAUAUAUAUAUAUAUAUAUAUACAGUUGCAAGAAAAUGUAUGUGAACCCUUUGGAAUGAUAUGGAUUUCUGCACAAAUUGGGGCUGCUUUGCUGCGUCAGGGCCUGGACGGAUUGCUAUCUUCAAAGGAAAAAUGAAUUCCCAAGUUUAUCAAGACAUUUUGCAGGAGAACUUAAGGCCAUCUGUCUACCAGCUGAAGCUCAACAGAAGAUGGGUGUUUUCAAAUCCAGGAGUGCACCUUAUUAUUGUUUUCCAUACAUAUAAAAGAGAUGAAAACCUUGCCCACCUACUUACAAAAUAUGGAACCCGGUGCUAGAUUGCACUAGAUAUACAAGACAAGAUAAAAUCAGCACUCACGGGAUUUCUAAAUAAAGCUUCUUUUUUUGAACCUGAGGAAAGUCCACGAGGGGGACUGAAACAUCGAUCCUAUUUUUAAUAUGAAUUUAAUAAAGAAUUGAAGAUUUUAUCUACAGACCAUGAAUGCAGCUAAAUUUGUUGCUGUGUAUAUAUAUAUAUAUAUAUAUUUAUUUAUUUAUUUUAAUUUACUAACAUUUUUUUUUUUCACCAGCAGGGCUCCGUUCAGGUAGUCCCCGUACAGGCAGCACUAUAGAUGCCUAUUGCGGCCAUGUGACCGCUCAUGGCAUUUGGGAUCUUAAUUUGCUGAGGGGGGACUGACUGGGCUGUCAGACAGUCCUCCAAGACAAAGAGUAACACCGAUCGCCAGCGGAGAAACGGCGGCAAUUUGGUAAGUAAGUAGGAAUUCUGUGCAUGUACUUGAUACGUCUGAGGACCUUAAGGAACGUUUUUUGUUGGAUGUACACAGGAAGGGGUUAAACUGUCACAAUGUAACAUAGCUGUCUUGAAUCUGUUGUAAUAUGAAUAGAAAAUCUCACCUGUGGGUAGCAGAGAUGAUAAUAUACAGAGCAGUAUGAUAAAAGAUGUCAUGAUGUCUGCCUCUCAGAACUUGUUCUUUCUGCGUUCAAUUUAUUUUCAAUACCUGGAAAAUAUCACUCAAGACAGUUAUAUUUAUACUUCUAUACUGAAGAUGAAGUCAUCCUAAACAUAUUUAUUUCCUAUUGCAUCUUCUCACAUAGUCAACAGAAGACAAGGAAGUAGUAGAAAAAAGGCAAGAAGCCAAUGUUCAGCAAAGGUGGCAUCUUAAUUGUUUUCAAGAAAAAAAGAGGACCCAAAAGAAGCAGUACCUUAACCCCGUAAGGACACAUGACAUGUGUGACAUGUCAUGACUCCCUUUUAUUUCAGAAGUUUGUCCUUAAGGGGUUAAAAUGUCAUUCCACUGCCCAAAUAACAUAAAUAAAUAAAUAUAUAAAAAUUGCUCACAAAAUCACGACAAUCCAAUAACCAGACGUUUGUUCCCAAAUUCACCUCAAUGCACCCACACGAUAUGCACAAACAGCAAACCAAAUGUUUUUUCUAAAAAACGCAAUUAUUAAUAAGGUAUAUGGUACAAAACAAGCAAUAAAAUAUUGAACGUGUAAUAGCACAAUGUGAAAGCAUGCACUGUGACUUAAAAUUUACCCCAUGGGUUGUAGUUUUAAAUUAAUUUGUGCCAAAACUAAAUAAGAAAAAAACUUAGCUUAAUAAUUGUGUUCAAUAGCUUGGGAUUCCUUGCAAUAUCAUACAACAAAAGAAAAAAUAUAUAGUGUAAAGCCUUUUGCUAAACACACUACAAUAAAAACUAAAAACGGUUUACAACUAGGCAUAUGCAUGGGGAAAAUUUUCAGUUCGGUUUGGCAUUCCAAAAUUUGGGACUUCGGCAACUUCGGAACUUCACCACUUCGGAACUUCGGCAACUUCGGCACUUCGGAACUUCAGAAUUUCUGAACUUCGGCAUUUCGUAAUUUUGAGACUUCGGCACUUCGGGACUUCUCUUGCAGCCGCUUAGUAGAUAACUCCCUAAUUCCCACGGUAUUAGGGAGUUAUCUACCAAAAGGCUGAAAGACCUAAAUUGGUCUUUCUGCCAAAUCUACUAAUACUAAGUAAAAAUUACUUAGUAUUAGUACAUGUUACACCUCCUCAAUAUACCGAGAGUAGGGGCAUGUCUAUUAAACUGUUAAAAAAAGGGCCCCCACAGCUCCCACCCCUGACUCAGGGGUGGGGGCCAGGGGGAGGACAUUAGGUCCCCCCCUUAUUCCCCACAUUAGGUCCCCCCCUUAUUCCAAUUUAGGGCCCCCACCCGCCACUCAGGGGUGGGGGCAGGGGGGAGGACAUUAGGUCCCCCCUUAUUAGUAUUUAGGGCCCCCACCCACCGCACAGGGGUGGGGGCCAGGGGGGAGGACAUUCGGUCCCCCCCUUAUUAGUAUUUAGGGCCCCCAACCCACCGCUCAGAGGUGGGGGCUAGGGGGAGGAUUUUAGUAGGAUGUAAAAUAUGCACGGUCUCUAAGUGACAAAGUUAAAUCAAAACUAAUGUAAAUUAAAUAUUCUUUAUGACCACAAGAGAGUUUAAAACUACAUACUAAUAACCAUAUUGCAUGAUGUUCGUGUAAUUAUAAUUAGGGAACCAUAGCUGUAGGCUAAAUAGUGUUUGUGUGUAUUGUGCGAAUGGUCUAUCUAGCCAUAGAGCAUUCGUACUUUCCCCAUACUGACCUAACCAAACACUCCACCAAACCGUAGUAUACAUGCAAAAACAUAUGUGAGUCGUUCGUGAGAAUUGAGCCAAAAAAAGACAGUCAUAAUAUACAAGCAAGAUCCCGAAAGCCCCUGAAAAAUUAAAAUGACAAGCAUUUGUGAGUUGCAAAUGAAUUGAAAUACACAAAUUACCAUACGAAAAUAGAGCAUGCGAAUAGACUGAAUAUAGAGAGUAGACCCAAACGGUAAUGACGCCGUGGGACUGCGACCAAGGCAACGGCUGGGACUGUUUUCAGAGUGUGCUUCUGAGUCAGUCUCUGGUGAAAUUAAGGAGGAAGCAAACUUGAUGGGAGGAUUGAGGUUGAGUAAGAGAAGCACUGUAUCCAGAGGAAAGCAAGCAAGCCCAAGUAGCAAGACAACUUGGAGACAAGGUAAAUUCGCAAAUGGCAACCUAAAGUAACCACAUGCAAACCAGACCAUAUAUAGUAAUUGUUUUUACAAGGUCAUUAUUGCUUUGUAUUAUUACAUUUUAUUUAUUUUCUUGCUAUAGGUACUAAACAAUGAAAAAUACUAUAUGUGUAUUGCAUACUCUCUUGCUAUGUGAGUACCAAUGAAUAUGUACCAUUACUCAAAAUAUGCUUUACGAGGACUUAUAGGUACUCAGACCACAUCAGCUCAUUGAAGUGGUGCAAUGUCUAUGUCCCACUUAGUCCUGCAAUAUAAACAUUGCAGUGCUAAGACAGACAUUUUGUGGCUUUUACAAACCAGUGGUCUAUUUUAAAUAUUAAACCCAUAAUGAAAACAUCUUGUGAGCACGCCGGUACAUAUUAACCUAACUUUCAUUGCUUAAACUUGAAAUUUCCGAUGAACAGGGGGCGGAUAGGUUGAUAGUUAACCUUUGUUUCAUGAACUUCUUUCCUGUGACAAAUCCGAUAGGGUUUGACCUCCAUGAAGUGAAAGGUGGGGAUUGAAAAGAGAGCAGUGUUCAAAUUGAGAUUCUUAGUUGCGGUGAUGGAAGUUAAACUGGGCCUUACAACUGCAGUGUUCAAAUGAAGAUUCUUAGUUGCAGGGAUAAAUGUUAAAUUGGGCCUUAAAAUCCAUGAUUGGAAAGUACCUUAAAUAGCCUGCUGGGGUCACAGUUGUGUUAUGUUGGAAUUCAUAGAACGGGACAACUGAAUCAUUAUCAACAUGAAUUGAAUUUGCAGUGAUAGCACUUUAUUGAUUAGAAAUUAUAUUUCAAUGAUCUAGAUAUUACAGCAAGACAAGCACAAACUCAUGAGUAUUUUUGCAAGUGUAUUUUGUUUUUAAGUAUUAGAUGUUAUAUUUACAUAUAUUGAUAUAUAGGUCAAUUGUGAUGUGCGUUUGGGAUACUCGCUAUUUCAAAAACUUACUUUGCUAUUUUUAUUGUGCAUUUGGUAUCAGGUCGUAUCUGAUUUACUUUUACUAUUUGUUAAAUAUAUGUUGUCAUUCAUCCAAUUUUAUAGCAGAAUAAAUACAGAACUAGACUUAAAAAAAUGAAGAAUUAACUAAUUGAAUUUAUGUUCCAUUUGUUCCCAAAAGCUUAAUGUAAAUACUCGGUAUGAUGAUAAAGAAUUGGUGUUAAUGCACAGUACAUAAAAGGUAAGCAUGACAACCUGAAUUCUCUCAUCACUUAAAGGACCCCUCUAGGCACCCACACCACUUCAGCUUAAUGAAGUGGUCUGGGUGCCAGGUCCAGUUAGGGUUAACCCAUUUUUUUAUAAACAUAGCAGUUUCAGAGAAACUGCUAUGUUUAUGAAUGGGUUAAGCCUUCCCCCAAAGCCUCUAGCAGCUGUCUCAUUGACAGCCACUAGAGGCGCUUGCGUGCUUCUCACUGUGAUUUUCACAGUGAGAGCACGCCAGCGUCCAUAGGAAAGCAUUGUAAAUGCUUUCCUAGGACCGCUGAAUGCUGCAGCUCUUGCCGCUGCUGCGGCGCAUUCAGCCCAGGAGGAGGAACGGAGGAGGAGAGAAGGAGGAGAGCUCUCCGCCCAGCGCUGGAAAAAGGUAAGUUUUUACCCCUUUCCCCCUUCCAGAGCCGGGUGGGAGGGGGACCCUGAGGGUGGAGGCACCCUCAGGGCACUAUAGUGCCAGGAAAACAAGUAUGUUUUCCUGGCACUAUAGUGGUCCUUUAAGACGUGUUUUAUGAUGUUAAUAGCAGUUUUUUACUCUGUGAAUUGUAUUCAAUUCGUGCUUUUGUUUCAUAUUUGAGAAUGUUAUACAGAUCUGGAUCUACAUUUUUGGCAACUACUUGGCAAGCAUGAAAAUCAUUAAAAAUGUAUUUUUAUUCACAUCCACUGCAGUGUAAAGGUACACUACUAUGAAAGAAUUUUUCUUCACGCUCUUUAGUUCCUGGCAUGGAUUUAAACUUCAGUUUGCAUAUCAGAUCGGAAAUACAGCCGUUUACACUGUAAUUUCCAAUAGUGCCAUCUGCAAAACAGAGAAUAUAGUAUGAAUCAGGGAACCCCUUUCAUGUAGUGAAAUAAUAUAUUAUUAAAAUUCUGGGCAUAAAAAAAGAUUCUGCAUAGCAAUACUAACUCUAGAUGGAAGGAGUAUGAAAUUAGGGAAUUUACAAAUGUCAACACUAAGAAUGUCUAUUGGUAUGUAGUUGUGGCCUCCAAUAUGUAUGACAGACAUCUAGAAAGCUAUACUUGAAGAUUAGUGAACAUAAUAGAAAUAUAACAAAUGUUCUAAGGGUACCCCUUUGGUAUAUAGUGAAAUAAUAUAUUUUUUAAAUUCUGGGGAAUAGAAAAUAUUCUACAUAUCAAUGUUGCAGUUUCACAAAGUAAAACUGUAGUGAAUUUUAGUAUUGUGUCAUACUUUAUAUUUGUGUAGGGAGUGUUAGGCAUGCAGAGAUGGAGGGGAGUCAGGAGAGUGGUAGUAUGAUGGGCAUAUAAAGGGGACAUGUAUUAUCAAUGGAGUAUGAUGAGGUAGCAACCACAGGUUUCUGAAUAGCAGGGUAGUGGGGCAGCCUUGGCCUAGUCAGGAUGGGAAGUACAAGUGCUAAAGGAUCUAAACAGAGAAAAGGGUUUGGUCCCAAAUCAAAAAAGGUACAGCAAGAGGUCGUGGGUCCUUAUCGAGUGAGGACCAUGCAGAGAGGGGACAGGCAGGCUGGUUAAGAGAAGACAGAGGAGGUCUGCAGGAGGAGGUACAUUAUGCUAGCAUUGUCCUUGUUGAGCAUCACACAAUACGGAACAUCAAACACCAGCUUUGUGGCUGCUGAAGGGAAGCAAAGAAAAACAUAAGCCUUGAGACAAACUAUGCAAGAGGAACAUGAAACUAAGUAAAGUGCAAUAUUAUAACAGCAAUAUCAUAUUUAAGGAUUUGAUUUUUAAAUUAAUACUUUUUUGUCCCUCAGUAUUGCCUUGUUUUAUAUAUAUAUAUAUAUAUAUAUAUAUAUAUUUUUUUUUUUAUUAUUCACCUUAUUUUUUUAGUAAUACAUAAGAAAAAGUAAAUGUUAGUUUUCUUCUUUGUAAAUUCUGCCAGCCAUCAUAACAAAAAUCCCACACAAUCAUGUACAGUGUUGUGUGGAUUAUGUAGUGUUUGUUUAGUUGGAUAGGCUGUGAGUGUUGUGUGGGAUAUAAAUGCAGAAUCAUUCACUUUAUUAACCCCUUAAGGACGGAGCCAAAUGUACACGUUGUGAACGAAACAAAAUGUAAACAAAACCUGGCAUUUGCGCUACAUGUCUGUCCAACCGUAAUACACCUCUUUCAUAGUAAAUGCACCCACCCUUAUUAUAUAUCAUUUUAUUCAGGGGAAACAGGGCUUUCAUUUAAUAUCAAAUAUUUAGCUAUGAAACAUAAUUUAAUAUGAAAAAAAUGGGAGAAAAUAAGAUUUUUUUAGUUCUACAUGACAUUUUAACUGUCAAUGUCAUAAUACUGUUUGCUUUUACUGCAAUAAAAUACACAUAUUUGUAUUCAGUAAAGUCUCACGUGUAAGACAGUACCCCCUAUGUACAGGUUUUAUGGCGUUUUGGGAAGUUACAGGGUCAAAUAUAGCACAUUACAUUUGAAAUUGAAAUUCGCCAGAUUGGUUACGUUGCCUUUGAGACUGUAUAGUAGCCCGGGAAUGAAAUUUACACCCAUAAUGGCAUACCAUUUGCAAUAGUAGACAACUCAAGGUAUUGCAAAUGGGGUAUGUCCAGUCUUUUUAGUAGCCAUUUGGUCACAAACACUGGCCAAAGUUAGCGUUAGUAUCUGUUUGUGUGAAAAAUGCAAAAAAACGCCAAUUUUGGCCAGUGUUUGUGACUAAGUGGCUACUAAAAAAGACUGGACAUACCCUGCUUGCAAUACCUUGGGUUGUCUACUAUUGCAAAUGGUAUGCCAUCAUAGGGGUAAUUUUCAUUCUUGGGCUACCAUAGGGUCUCAAAGGCAACGUAACCAAUCUGGCGAAUUUUAAUGUGAAAAAAAUGAAACACAAGCCUUAUAUUUGACGCUGUAACUUUUGAAAACACCAUAAAACCUGUACAUGAGGGGUACUGUUGUACUCGGGAGACUUUGCUGAACACAAAUAUUUGUGUUUCAAAACAGUAAAAAGUAUUGCAGCAAUAAUAUCAUCCGUGUAAGUGCUGUUUGUGCGUGAAAAAUGCAAAAAACUUCACUUUUACUGGCGAUAUCAUUGUUGUAAUACAUUUUACUGUUUUUAAACACUAAUAUUUGUGUUCAGCGAAGUCUCCCGAGUAAAACAGUACCCCCAAUUUACAGGUUUUAUGGUGUCUUGGAAAGUUAUAGGGUUAAAUAUAGUGCUAGCAAAUUAAAUUCCCUAUACUUUCGGCAUGGGUUGUCAGGCAGGUCCCGCUAAUUGUAAUUAAUUAGGAUACCUAAUUAUGUAAAAAUAUUACAUAAAUAUAUGUGUAGAAUUAAUAUAUGUAUAUAUAUACAUAUGUGUAUAUAUACAUAUAUAUAUAUAUAUUUUUUUAAAAUAUUUUUAUUUAUAUAUAGGUGUAUAUAUUUAGUGAUAUAUAUGUAUAUAUUUAUGUAUAUAGAUAUAUAUAUUAUUUCGUUCUACAUGUAUUUUGAUAUAAAUAUAUAUAUAUUAAUAUCACAAUACAGUUAGAACGAAAUAACAAACAUCUAUAUAUUUUUUUAUUAUUUAUUUUUAAUUAUUUUUUUAAUUUUAUUUUUUUACGUAUUUACAUUUUUUAUAUUAUAUAUAAAUAUAUAUAUAUAACAAUAAUUAUAUAUAUAUAUAUAUAUAUAUAUUUAAUCAGUAUUAGUCUACGUGUAAUUUAAUAGUAAUAUAUAUAUAAAUAAUUAUAUAUAUUAAUAUUUAAAUACUCUUCGUGUAUGUGUAAAUGUGUGUGUGUGUGUGUGUGUAUAUAUAUAUAUAUAUAUAUAUAUAUAUACUUAGAUCAUAUAUAUAUAUAAUAUAUAUGAUCUAAGUAUAUUUUAUAUUUAACUGUAAUUUUUUUUUUUUUUUACUAAUAUUUUAUUUUUUUUACAGGAGAGGGGGCAGAGACAGUGUCAGCCAGUGAUUUCACAUCACUGGCUGACACACAGGAUCAGUGAUCACAGUGACUGCCUGUCACUGUGAUCACCUCCUGCAGAUUGGGUAAUUGGCCACAGGGGGGAGUGCCUGGGUGGUACAAGCACUCCCCCCUUCCAAUCUGCAGGGGGAUCUUUGUGCCAGUUACAUGUGUCAGCCAAUAGGCUGACACAUGUAACACUGAUCGCAGUGACAGGCUGUCACUGCGAUCAGAGCGCUCUGAGAUCGCAGUGACAGCCUGUCACUGCGAUCUCAGAGUUAGCAGAUCGCGGUCACUGACCCCAGGGGGACUGCCUGGGGGCCAGGUAAGUCCCCCGACCGCGAUCUGCACGGGGUAGCCGCUGGCCACGUGUGUCAGCCGAUUUGAAAUCGGCUGACACACGUUAAAAAACUGAUCGCAGUGACAGCCUGUCACUGCGAUCAGUGACUGCAGAUCGCGGUCACCGGCCACAGGGGGGGUUGCCUGGGGGGCCGGGCAUCCCCCCCGACCGCGAUCUGCAGCGGGCGAAUAGCGCCGGCCACGUUGGCGGCCAUUAAAGUGAGGGCGUACUAUUACGCCCGCCGGCAUUUAGAGCCGGCUCCUGCAGGGCGUAAUAGUACGCCCUCCGGAUUUAAGGGGUUAAAUGAUUUCCCUAUCCACAUUUGUUUGCAGGGCACUUGUCCUUCUCUCACCCCCAUUUUACUUCCUUUUGCAGCCCUCUAGCCCUUACUAGGACUUUUUUAGAGCCAUUUUAGUGCCCAAAAGUUCAGGUCUCCAUAGGGUUCGGGUUCGGGGUCAAGUUCGAGUCCCGAACUCAAACUUUUUGCCGAAGUUUGGCCAAACCUGCGAACCCGAACAUCCAUGUGUCCGCUCAACUCUAGUCAGGAUCUGUCAAUAAUUAAGACAGUUUUUUUACGAUCUAUAACUGGAAGAGUGCUUUGGAGUGAUUUAGUUUAAACAUUUUCCCGGUAAUGGGGCAAACUGUUUUGCCUUCUCACUUGGGUUCCUGCCAUGCACAGAUUCUCUUCUUUGGCCAGCAAUGUGUAUCCAGCUUCUGCAGAGAUGCCGAAGAUGGACACAGAGAUCAGUGGCCACUCACUGGGCAAGCGGAUCAACCAUGGAAUGAAACUGACAUUAGCUGUGGAGAAACCAACCUCGUCUCGAAGCAUUGGAGAAGUCUGGUUGAACGCCUGUUGCCCUUGGACUAUGGCCCCAUGUUAAAAAGCCUUCUUUUCCCCUGCAGAAAAGGCUUGUUCGUGCCUUUAUGCCCAGCGUUCAGUAGAUUCAAUCUAUGGAACAAACAACCGAAUGACUGGACCACCUGUAUUGGGAGUGUGUCAGCAAUUUACCACCCAGAAGCAGCGGUUAACCGCAGCUUAAUUGACGAAUGCUGACUGGCCUUUGUUCAUUUGCCGAACACGUGGUGGUGAAUGGCCAGCGGUGUUCAGCGCCCAAACUAUGGAGCUGGAAACGGACACUUAUUUGCGUGAACACCGCUGAGCCGUCAGCCUCCUUGCGUCUGCAUUCUGUCAUUUAACCGGAUGCCUGUUCAUUCUGUAGUUUAACCAUAUGAACAGCAUUACCCCAGAUAGCCAUGCCAUGGAGCCUAUUCGUGUAACGAAAGACUAUUGGAAAGACUUUGGCUCCAUGGCGAUUGAACUGUAUGUAUGUGAUCUGAGUAAUAAUGUGCACUCAGAUCUAAGCUAUCUUGGGAUAGGUAGAAUGUAUAUGUUUUGUGCAACAGUUGUAACUUUAUACAUUUUUAUGUCUUUUACUGUCUUUUACUGCCAUUUGGUUAAAGGAGUUUUGCCUCUGUCCUGGGAGAUAAUUGGAUUACUUCCCAAUUAUCUCCAGGACAGAGGGAGGGAAAUUAGGAUGCAUUGUGGGGAUGUUUUACCUCUGUGUGUCUGUCAUUGGUUCAUGUCUGUCCUUUGUCACAGUCUCCCAUUUGGUCCCCUACGAGAGUGUCCGCCAGCUGGGAGACCUGCAUAAAUACUGGGCAGGUAGCCCUCAAUAAACCAGACCACUGCUUGACCCGCAACACGGAGCACAGUCUCGUCUUUGGGGGGAUUUACUGUAUGCUGUUAGAGACUGAUUGCCAGGAGUGUAAGCCGCUUGGGUGCUUUUCCUGUUCGUCUGCUAGCAGCUAUACGUGAAGCUGCCUUCAACAUGGAUGCUGUCCAGGAAGUAGGAGGGUCUGGGAGGGAGAGUCUGCUGGAGAUUGGCCGGGAUGUGUCAGCUGACUGGAGUUCGCCACGACCGUGGCGAACCGUUCGCGAGAAGUUCGCGGAUGGUUCGCGACAUCUCUAUUGACAAUCAGUUCUGAAAAUACAUUUGAUAUACAGACCAGCCAAACACAUAUGUUGAACAAAUCAUUGCAGCAAAUCAUUGAGACUUUCACCCAGUCUCCACACCUACAAAAAAUAUUUGAAAACACACUUCUUUAGGAAAGCAUAUAAUUUAAACUGUUAGCGGGUUUUCAUCCCCUCUCCCCCCCCCACAUGACUCCUCUCCUGCAACUGUCAAAAUAACCAAAGUUCUCAGUGAAUACUUUUCUAGCAACCUAAUUCAUUACCCCUACUUAUACCUUUUGUGUCACUAUACCCAGUGGUGUAUCCUGGUUUUGUGCUGCCCUAGGCAGGACAAAACUCAGGCACCCCCCUCCCCCCGCGCCACCCCCACCCAACCCUUCCCCCUGCCCCACCUUCUAAAUACACAUACACACACACAAACACAGUCAGACACAUACACACACACAGUCAGACACAUACACACACACACUCACACACACACAGUCAGACACAAACACACACACAGUCACACACACAUAGUCAGACACAAACACACACACACAGUCAUACACACACACAUACACAGACAGGCACAAACACACACACAUACACACACACAGUCAGGCACAAACACACACAAACACACACACAUCAGUCAGACACACACACACACAGACACACACACACACAUACACAGUCAGACACACACACACACACACACUCAGUCAGACACACACACACACUCACAAACACACGCACAGACACAAACACACACAGUCAGACACAAACACACACACAGACACAAACACACACACACACAGUCAUACACACACACACACACAGUCAGACACAUACACAGACACUGCCAGACACAAACACACACACAAACACACACACACACAUACACAAACACAGUCAGUCACACACAGUCAGACACACACAGAGAUUAACUUUUUUUUUAUUUAAAUCCCCCCCCAACCUCCUUACCUUUGGGAGUGCUGGGGGGGGGAGGUCUCUCUCACCCUGGUGGUCCAGUGGCUGCCGGUCGGGCGGGCGGCGCUGGCAGGCGGGCGGCUGGCGAGGGAGAACUUCCUAUGAACUCUAUGCUCAGCUCCCUCGCGCGCCGGCUGCAGAGUGAGGCUGGGAGCCGGGUUGAUGACGUCAUCUUCCGGCUCCCAGCCUCACUGUGCGGCGCGCGAGGGAGCUGAGCAGUCAGCUCAUAGGAAGUGCUCCCUCGCCAGCCGCCCGCCUGCCAGCGCCGACCGCCUGGGAUGUCAGUUAGCCGCGAGGCUAACUAGGCAUUUGCCCUGGGUAUUUGGGGGGCGGCGUUUUUUGCCGCCCCCUGAAAAAUGCCGCCCAAGGCAAAUGCCUUGUUUGCCUCGCGGCUAAUACGUCCCUGACUAUACCCCACUCCCUCUAGCAUGUAAGCUCAUUGAGGAGGGCCCUUAAUCCUGUGUGUCCAUUUGUAUGGUUACAAUUAUGUGUCUGCUAAUUCACCCAUUGUACAGUGCUAUGGAAUUUGCUGCGCUAUUAAAAUAAUAAAAUAAUAAUAAUAAUAAUAAUAAUAAUAAUAUGUAGAUACAUAGACACAUUGGUUGACAGUGGCCUAUCAGGCUGAUUUUCAGAGAUGUUGACAUAUGGUAGCUUGACUGGAACUCCAGGAGGGUACAGAGACGACGGUUGGGAGACUGUGUUGAUUUAGAUAGGGGUCCUAGGUCACCGGUAGGGAAGACAUCCCUGACAUCUAAGGGAUAUGGAUUUACAUAUUUACAUAACUUUAUAUGUAAUUGCUUUUUGUUUUUGUUUGUUUUUUUCCUUUAACUGUUGCCCUCAAAUCUGAGCUUUAUAUCACACGAUGACUAUUAGACAAGAGUUGUUAGUGACUUUGAAUUUCACCACUUAUUUAUUCCUGUUUAUUUAGACUCUCAGAAUAUUGUAUAGUAUCAUAAGAUUUGUCAGGUCUAUCAAACUGUUAUAAUUGACAUUUCAUGUCUUGGUUUGCCACGUUCAAAUAUUAUAAAGGACAUGUGUGUUCACAUUUAUGAUCAUGCACUUUACCAUGGCCCUGCAAAGCAUGAGUGUCCUAUCUCAGUACUUAUCUUUCGUCGAAAAUCAAUUAACAAUUCACUAUAUAUAUAUAUAUAUAUAUAUAUAUCAAUAAAUACACCAGAAAAUCCAACUAAAGUCUUACAAUAAUUGGCAAAUGUAGCAAUAGAGAUAAAAAAACAAAAACAAACACAGACCCCCAACGUAACCAGAUAUUGUUUACUGAAAUAUUGAGGGUCUGUCUCUGCUGAUUAUCAUUAUUCAUAUAGUUGCAGGUAUUGGAAUAUUUUGAUUUUUUUUUUCCUCAUGUAUUAAUUGCUGUUUGUAUUUGUACAAAUAAAGUGUUGUUUUUCUAAUGUAAGAUUUUAAUUUAUAGUUAUGGGAUAUGCUCUAUUUCAGCAACUUAUUUUGAGUUUGUUAUAGCAUAUUUGGAAUAAAGUCACAUCUGAUUUUCUUUCAUUAUUUGUUAAUAUGUUGUUAUCCACCUAACUCUAUAGCAGAAUAAAUACAGAACUAGACUUAAUAAAACAAAGGAUUAACUAGUUGCAUUUAAGUUCCCAUUUGUUCUUAGAGGCUUAAUGUGAAGAGCAAUUAUUAUGAUAGUGAAAUAAAUGCAAUGUUUCAUUGUGGACUAUUGGUGUUAGUGCACAGUACAUAAAGAGUAAGCAGGACAACCUGAAUUUAAGUGCAUUCUUUUAGAUUUGUUUUAUUAUGUUAAUAGCAAAAUUUUACUCUAUGAUUUCUAUUCAGUUCCUGCUCAUGUAUCAUCUUUGAGAAUGCUAUACAAAUGAGAAUCUACAUACAACUACUUAGCAAGCAGAAACGUUAUUAAAAUGUAAUUUUAUUCACAUCCACGGCAGUCUAUCGGUUCUGUGCAAGUUUCGCUACAUUCAAAUAACUUCUCUUCCAGCUGUUCGGUUCCUGGCAGGGAUCCAAACUUCGUGAUGCAUACUGCAUCGGAAAGACAGCCUUUGAUACUAUACUUUCCAAUGGUGCCAUCUGCAAAACAGAGUAUAAUAUGAAUCUGAUGUUACCAACAACAUAUGCUAAGGGUACCCUUUUCAUAUAUAAUGAAAUAAUAUAUUGAAAUUCAGGGGCAUUAAAAAUAAUUCUACAUCUCAAUGUUAAUAUUUUACAAAGAGUGAGCUGCAGCAGGUAUGUGUCAUAUUUUAUAUGUGUAAGAAGUAUUAGACAUGAAGGGAUGGAGAGGGGGUCUAGUGUGGAGAGGAGUCAGGAGAAGGGUAGUAUGAUUGGCAUAGAAAGGGACAAUGUUGUAUCAAGUGGAGUAGAAUUAGGUGGCAAUCCCUGAUUAGGUUUCAGAAUGUCAGGAUAGCGGGAAUAAAUUAAGUAAAGUGGAAUAUUAAACCGCAUUGUCACAUUUCAGGAUUAUUAUUUUUUAUAUAUAUAUAUAUAUAUAGAUACUUUUUGUCCCUCAGUAUUUUCAUAUUUCUUUUAAUCUUAGUUUUUUAGGAAUAAAGAAGAAAAAGUAGGGGCCACAAAAUGUUUUCUUCUGUAUUGGGCAGAGCCUAUGCAAAGCCCCAACCCAGCUGUUAAACUAAUCAUCAAUCAGAAGAAUCCCAUAUAAGGACAAACAGUAGACAUCUGAUAGGACAGAGGAGGACAAAAUGGAAGUAUGAAGAUUAGAGGUUUAUAUCGACAUAUUGAUAAAAUGUAUAUUUACCUAUAGGUGUUUGAGAAGUUUGCAGUUGUUAACUUGACUUUGUCCCUUAUACCUAGCUGAGGCCAGAUUUUCAGUUUGGUGACAUAGGGACAGCAUUUACCUAUUAUUCUUAUACUUGGUAGUAGCUGUUAAAAAUCUCACCAGCUAGGAAUUAGGAGUUGCUAAUGGUAGGUAUUUACAGUUUGUAAAUGGCCGUUACUUGCUAAAAAUUGCAACACCAUUUUAGUGAUUGACACUUGUCAGUAAAUUUACUGGAAACUUUUCAAAUUAGUUCUAUAAUUGUUCCUUUGAUCCCGCCAUAAAAACGGGAUCAUAUUUUUAUUAUUACUUUUAUUGCAUUGAUUAAACUGUUUAAAAUGUGAUGGUUUUCUUUUUUUAAAUUCUGCCAGCCUCCGUAGAAAAUGCAACGUGCAUUUUGUGGGAGAAACUGUGUGUGGUGUGGAAAAUGUAGUGUGUGUUUAGUCGGAGAGGUUGUGUAUAUAUGUGUAGAAUUCAGGAAUGCAGUUUGUGUUGAGUAGGGGAUGCUGUCUGUUGUGUUUGAUAUAAAUGCACAAUCAUGCAUAUACACUGUUCCCUUUAUUAAAUAUACAUUUUUCAUAUUUUUCCAGAUAUAAUAUUCACAUUACCUCCUCUUACUAAUAUUCCUAUAUAGUAUACACAACUAAACUGAUUUCCACGACAUUCCACUCGAUCUCUGGAAGAACAUCCAUCUGUCGAGUUGCUUCUGAAGCAAGACUCACAGUAAUUUCCAUUUGGUUCACCAAAGUUGUCGUUGUUCACAUCUGAAAGAGAUGAGAUCAUAUUUUAGAUACAAAACUCACGUAUCCCUGAACGAAGACAGAAAUCCAUGUCACUGAAAUGCAUGUAAGCGAUCUUAUAACGGGAUAACCUAAGCACCAAAACACCCAUGAAACAACAUUAUUUAAAAUUUGCAAUGCGCACGUCUACUAGUAGCUGUCAAAAAGACAGCUGUUAAUUGCUUCUGGGAGAAAUAGAUUUGGUUAUUGCGUCAGUUUGACGUCCAGUAAACAUGUAAAAUAUGCUCACACUGGAUGCGGUGUGCAUGCAAAACUUCUGAUAAAAAACCCCACUGGAUUGGUGGAUCACAGGAAAAGCACAUUUGCUGUGUGUUCUCAAUGCUUUUAUGUGAGAAGUAAUAAAAACAAAACCAGGAAUACACUGGGUAUGAACGAUAUGCAUUUAUUUUUGCAGUAUUAUUUUAAUUAUUAUUGCAGUAUCUUAAGAUCUGUCAAUAAUUAAGUCAGUUUGUUACCAGCUGUAACUACAAGUGUGCUUUGGAGUCCUUUAGUGCACUAACAGGUUUAAAAGACAUUAUCCCGGUAAGGUGGCAAACUGUUUUGCCUUCUCACUUGGCUUCCUGACAGCCACAGAGGCUCUUCUUUGGCCAGUGAUGUGUAUCUGGCUUCUUCAGAAAUUCAGAAGCCAGAUGCUGAAUUCACUGGCCAUUCACUCACUGGCUGAGAGGGUCAGCAUCGAUGUGCAUAGAAAUAUGCAUAUAAUUGACAUUAGUCACCCCUGGACUACCAUGGUAGCAAACGGUUUAAACGCCAAAUGUGCAUUGUUUCUUAGCAAAAUGCUGCACAUACAGAUUCCAGGCACCAUAACCACUUCUGAUCACUGAAGUGGUCAUUGUACAUGGAGUAACCAUUUAAUCUCAGAUAUGUUUGUCUUUAUAUACAUCUUCUUAAAAUGUAACUCUUGUAUAAAGUAUACUGUACAAGUAAGCAUUAUACUGUUUGUGGUUAUGCACUUACUAUUUAUUCUGAUGCAACCUAACUUAAUACAAAUCUUAAAAAUUGAAAAUUGAUCUGGGGUCAACUUGAUAAAAUUAGAAUAUGUUUUUAUAGUUGUUCACAUAUCCUGUAAAACAUUUAAAUAACAUUCUGAGUAUCUAAAAAUACUUACUAGUAAAUCCUGUUCCUUGGUUACAUAGAUCUUCUGGACAAUAGUCAAUGUUUACAUAGUUUGAUACUUGAUCUUUGUCAUUGACAGCUAACACUUGAUCUUCAUUAAUUCCUACAGCACAUCCUUUUUUAAUUGAAGGCACAAAUCUGUCUUCUGUAGAUAUAAAAAUAUAAAAAUAAAUUUAAUAUAUAGAGUAGACAAACACAUUUGUUGAACAAUAUGGCAUUUAAGGUCCAAAUUUGGAUAACAUUUGGCUCGGAGAGAAAGGGGGAAAACUUAGAAAAUAAUUUUGGAGAAACCCAGGCAAAAGAAAAACAUAUAGAUUUGCACAGAGAUGAGGGAAUACUGAGGGGGACAGAGAUGGCGUUUUUGUGAAGCCAACAUGUUGGCCUUUAAGGGUGUCCAAGGUGGGUUGUGCCAAUACUGCUUUUGGGGCUUUAGCUGAAGCCAAGUGAAUCAUAUGGGGGGCUUUAGCUCCACCCAAAAUAACCAUAUGGGGGGCAAGGCCUCAAGGGAACUCUGGCAGCACAGUUCCCUUGUGAGCCAUGUAAUGCUAGGGUAUGAUGUUACUUUGACCUCAGCAUCACUACAAGGUAUACAGGCAGAGCGCUGGGAUUCCAACAACAUCCAGCAGAGGAUCCACUCCAGCUCUCCUAGUUAUGGUAGGGAGGCUGCUCGGUUAGUUCAUUUUUUUUUAUUUUGUCCUUCAUUUUUUUUUAUUUUGUCCUUCAUUUUGGGAUAAUUAUUCGUUUUUGGAUAAAAUGAAUGAAAACAUAAUUUUACAUUCAUUUUUUGCGAUUUGUUGAAAAACAAGUGCACGCGUUUGCUUUGUUUGAUUGUCUAGUAAGAAUGUGCGUGGGGUUAUAUGUGUGUGAGAGAAUGAGUAUGGAUGUGGGCACUUACCAAAUUUUGCCUCUACAGGUGCAUUAAAAGUAAAUCCAGCCCUGUUUGGGAGCACUGCGGAUGUGCGAGUCACAAUUGUGUUGCUCUCACACAGACAUCCUUUGUGCCAGAUAAUGCCCUCAUGAUAUCUGUGUCUGUCACAUAACUGCGUGGAUUAAGAAUAGGAGGAUCUUGAAAAGAACGAAGCGCUUGCAGUGUGGGGGAGGGGUGGGUGGCAAAAUGCAUCUUUGUUUGUGGAGUCAAAUUCCCUGACCUGCAAUUGGAGGUAUAUUCUAAAAAUGCUAAAUUGUCUCUUCUCUCUGGAUGUUCUGCAGCUCACACGAAAGGUUAGUCUGCAAAAUUACAUGCUUAAACAAUACAUGAUGUAUGAAACAUGUAUACAUACACACAAACGUGCAAUGUAGAGAAAAAACAUAUACUAACUUAUACAUACCAACACAUGUAUUGUAAUAAAAAAAAAUAUAUAUAUAUAUACACACACACACACGCACACAUGCACACAAAUUUUGUGCAUACUUAUAAAAAGUAUGUUUAAUGGUUUUCUUGAUAUUCUUCAAGGGCAUCACCAUGGAGGGGUUCUAGGGGGAUUGAGAGGGGUUUGAAAGUUGAGGGACAAAUGUUUGCUAUAACUGUCUGAGUCUAUAUUUAGCUCCAGUUUAGCCCUUGGGAGCAGGGAGGUGGAGAUGGAUUUGAGUAGAGCAAAUUGCAUGAAAGGGAAACGAUAAGUGGAAGAGUGGAAGUAAGUUGGAAAGGGAAAGUGACAUGGGAAGGGUAUAAAUGAUGGGAAAAGAGAAAUUAAAAAAUAAAAUGUUUAGGGAAAGGAUAUGUUAAGUAGGCAUAAAAAGUGACAAUGAGAGGGACAGUGACAAGACAAAGAGAACAUGUAAAAAUAAACAGACCUACAUUCACACAUUCCCAUAUAUUCAAAGACACCCCAUUCCGACAUAUACACCCUGCAUUCACAUAUAUAAACAUAGCAUCCGUAUAUACAUCUCUGUGUUCACAUAUACUGAUAUAUUUGUAAUUGGGAAUAUACUAGUACGUUCAUACACACAGUGACUCCCCACACAAAUACACCCUACAUUCAUACACAAAGUGACAUUCCACACAAAUACUAACUACAUUCACACACAAUCUAUAUCACAUCAAAAAACCUCACAAUAUUCACACAAUAAUCCUGCUUGUCAUGGUUAUUUUUUUUUUUUUUUAUAAUAAUAUGUCACAAUUAUAUACUCUUCCAAUUUCCAUCUUGAGGCUGUGCUCUGGAUUCACCCCUGAGUACAGCUUAUUUUAUAAAUAGUCUAACAACCUGCAUGUCCAUAUUCUGCUGAGAGAAAUUACACUUACCAAUAGUACAGCUUUCGGACAGGGUUACACAACCUGCAUCACCACAUUCCACUAUGUUCUCUUCACUGUCACAGGUAAAUCCAUUUUGGUUAAGGCAAUCAACGCAUCUGACACCAUAAACUAAAAAAAUAACACUUUAGUUUUCCAUAUAUUUAAGUAUCAUUGUUAAAAAAAAAAAUUCACAUUGAGAACAUGUUUAAGCAAGCAUGAAUUUGGUUAAAAUGGGUGACGUGUCGUUCUUAAUAUAACCAAAAUAUCAUUAUACAUUUGGGGCUGUAUUCUCUACUUAUUGAAUAGCAAUACCUCAACUGAGGUUUAUGUGAACAUGGCUAUUCAGUAGCAGAGAAAUCCUUAACACUGAUUAGAGAAUCUAUCCCUUGAUUAUAACAUUGAGGUAUUUUUUAUUUUUUAUUUUAAGGUUGUGAGUGUGGCCAGAGGCAGGGCUGUUUGCAGCAAAAGUGUAAUUUAGAACAAGAACAAUGUUUUUUAUUUACACAAAAUGAUUUCUCAACACAUUCAUAGAUUAAAGUAGCAUUUAAGCAACAAAUGUAAAUAUAUAGAAUAACUCCUUAAGGACAGAACUUCAGAAGUAAAAGACCAGUAUGAUGGGAAAUGUCCUUGAGGGAUUAAAGACACAUUGGUGUGAGUAUUAUUGCUGUAAGAGGGAGUGAAUGAGACAUGGUUGGAGGGUGAAAGUGACAUGGUUGGAGGAGUGAGUGUUACUGGUGAGGGGAGGUAAGUGUGACAGGAUUAGGGAGUGAAUGUGCCAGGGUGAAUAUGGCAUGUUUGGGGGGGGGGGGGGUUAGUAUCACAGGCUUCGGAUGAAUGUGCGAUGGUUGGAGGAGUAAGUGCAAUACAAUCAAAACAAAAUGUGGUGAGAGCACACUAAAAGGCAUACACAUCACCACACAUGUAAAUGGAAUAGUCCUGUAAAUAAAACAGAAAAGGAAAACACAUAGGGUAAUACCGUUCUACAAAAGUGAAACCUUAUUUAAAACCUAGAUUUAUAUUCAGAGGAGCAAAGAAUUUUUAAGUUGCAAAUUAAGUGAAUUUUAAAAUCUUUUUGAAUGUAUUCUUUCUCGAUUUGCAUCCUCUACAUUCUCCACAAUAAUAGAAAACAUUUUGUAUUUCCUUCAUUUUCUUUAUCUAAAAAACUUUGUUUAAAAUUCUUUGCUCCUCUGAAUAUAAAUCUAGUUUUUAAUUAAGGCUUCACUUUUUUAUAACGUUUUUUUUCCCCUGUUUUGUUUUAUUUACAGGACUAUUCCAUUUACAUGUGUGGUGAUGUGUAUGCCUUUUAGUGUGUUCUCACCACAUUUUGUUUUGAUUGUAUUGCACAUGUGUGUGGUGCAGUGACCUACAUCCUUUUACACUAUUUGUUUUUAUUGGCGGGGUAAGUGUGACAGGGCAAGGGAAGGUGAAUGUGACAAGAUUAAGGUGGGUUAAUUGACAGGGUUAGUGUAGCAGAGGGGGAAGGGUGAGUGUGGCAGGGUUGGUGGAGUGACAGGGUUGGGGGUUAGUGUGGCACGGUUGGUGAAGGGAAUGUGACAGGACGAGAACAGGUGGAUGUAACAGAAUUAGAGGAUUAAUGUGAUAGGAUGAGUGUGGUAGAGUGAUGUGAGGCGAGUGCGGGAUGUUUGGAGGUUGUAGUGUGAUGGGAUCAGGAGGGGUUAAUGUAAGUGUGGCAGGGAGAAGGAAGGUUACAGUGUGUGGAGGGUGGUGACAGUGUAUGAAGGGGUUGAGUAUAUGUGUGGAGGGUAGGCGACAGUGUGUGGAAGGGGGAUGACAGUGUGUGGAGGGGGAAGGACAGUGUGCAGAGGUGACAGAAUGUAAAGGGGGUGACAUAGUGUGUGUGAAGGGGUGAGAGUGCGUGUUAAAAGGGGUUGACAUAGUGAUAGACUGUGUGCGGAGGGUGAUACUGUGUAGAGGGGGUGACAGACUGUGUGGAGGCUGGGUGACAGACUGUGUGGAGGGGUGUGACAGGCUGUCUGGAGGGAGGUGGCAGGCUGUCUGGUGGUGGGUGACAGACAGUGGAGGGGGUGACAGAGUGUGUGAAGGGGGAUGACAGAGUGUAUGGAGGGGGGGUGAUAGACUGUGGAGGGAGGUGACAGAGUGUGUGGAGGGGGUAACAAACUGUGGAGGGAGGUGAUAAACUGUGAAGGGGGUGACAGACUGUGGAUGGUGUGACAGAGUGUGGUGAUGGUGUGACAGUGUGUGGAGGGGUGACAUAGUGUGUGGAGGGUGUGAAAGAGUGUUUGGAGGGGGUGACAGACUGUGGAGUGGGAGUGACAGAAUGUAUGUAAAAUACCUUUUUGUAUUUCUGAAACAAUUCCGUGGUGGUCUAGUGGUCUCCAUCUAUCCCUGGUGAUCCGGUGGGCUGGCACUUUGGUAUGCAGCUCCUCUGGGUGCAGAGCUGUAGACCACAUGGGUAAGUGUGUUGCAAUUUCCAGUUUGAGAGGGUUGCCGUAGUAACCUGCGGCAAAACUCCGAAACUGGAGAUCGCGAGGCACGUCAGUCUGCAGCUCUGCACCACCAGAACUGCAGACUGAAAACUGUGUUGGGCACUCUCUCGGGUAGACUAUGCGGAGGAGCCUCGCACCCUGCCACAUAAUGGGCAAGCCGCCAGGCCCCCUCCUGUGUCGGGUACUUGGUCACAGAGCGAGGACCCGACACUUCAGUCUGCCCUAUGGUAGGUUAGAUGGCCACGAGGCCCCUGUCAGCGUGAGGCCGUAGGCAGACACUUAAAUUGCCUAAUUAGAGAGCCACCUUUGAUUAUAUAUGUAAUGUAUGUAUCUAUAUGAUAUAUGAAGUAUAACCAAAUUUCAGAUUUCUCACAUCUGUGAUUGGUGCCUCAUUAUCAUCAUCAUUUACUGUAACACAAUAACCAAUAUUUUACCUAAAUCAGGUAUAAUAUACAUUCAUUUCUUUUAAAAAUAAUACUUAAAAAAAUUAAUACCAAAAGGUGUCUACUAAAAGGAUUUAUAUAAUGUAGGCAUUGCAAAUUAUUUAUAAGUUUUUUUGUCAUAUAGUCACAAGUCUAUUCACUAACAGAGUUAUUCACUAAAGUGAGAAUUUUUAAUUUAAGGCCAAAAUGGUCAAAUUGGAAGUUAAGCGUACUUGUAACUUUGUUUGGCUUUAAAUAUGAAAUUACUUUGAAAAAACAGGUAAAGGGUAAUGCAAUAUUUAAUAAACUUUCACAAUAUCCCAUAGCUGUCCUGAAUGUAUUAUAAUACGAAAAGAAAAUCUCACCUGGUGAUAGCAGAGAUGACAACAUACAGAGCAAUAUGAUAACGGGUGUCAUGAUGUUUGACUGUCAGAACUGAUUCUUUCUGUGUUCAACCUGAUGUUUUCAAAAACUGUGAAAUAUCACUCAAGACAGUUAUAUUUAUACUUCUAUCUUGAAGAUGAGGUCAUCAUAAACAAAUGUAUUUCCUGUUCAACUCACUCACAUAGUCAACAGAAGAAAAGGAAGUAGCAAAAAAAAAAAAAAAGGCAAGUAGCCAACUUUUAGCAAAUUUUGUAUCCUACUUAAAAAGAAAAAAAAAUGUAGCAUUUGCCUUGGGCGGUACUUUGCAGGGGGCGGGAAAAAAAGCCACCCCCAAGCUCCCAGGUGUAUCCCUUGUUUGCCUUGUGUCUUAGGGGGCUCAAAAUCUGUCCAGCUGGCCACUUUUGAGCCCCCUCAAGGUGGGCGGCAGCUUCUAUCCCGGUGGACAGCAAGGGAGCAUGCUCACCUGAGCUCUUCAUGCUCAGCUCCCUCGCAAGCCACUUAAUGAAGCCAGGAGCUGGAAUAUUACGUCACUCCAGCUCCUGCCAUCACUAAGCGGCACGCAAGGGAGCUGAGCAGGAUUAAGAGCUCCCUCGCCGCCUUCUAUGCCUGUUCGUCCCCUACCUGCCCGCGCAGUAGCCCCACUGGACUGCAGGUAAGUAAUCCACUCCAGCUCUCCCAGGGAGGCUGGGUGGAUUUAAAUUAAAAUUAAAAACAAAAUAAUAAUUUGUGAGUGUUGGGGAAAAUGUCUGUGUCUGUGAGUAUGAAUGUGUGUGUUUCUCUGAGUGAGUGUAUCUGUGAAAGUGUGUUUGUCUGUGAGUGAGUGUCUGUAAGUGAGUGUGUGCAUCCGUCAGUGAGUAUCUGAGUAAUAAUGUGUGUCUGUCAGAGUGUGUCAAAUCAGUGAGUGUUUGUGUAUGUUUUUGUCAGUGUAUAUGAGAGUGUGUGUCUGUCAAUGAGUGUAUGUGUCUUUCAGUGAGUGUGUGCAUCUGUCAGUGAGUGUGUGUCUGUCAAUGUGUGUCUGUUAGUGUGUCAGUUCAGUCAGUGUGUAUGUUAUUGUUUCUCGGUGUGUAUGAGAGUGUGUGUGUGUCUGUUAGUGAGUGUGUGUCUGUCUGUCAGUGAAAGUUUGUGUUGGUUAAACUGUAUGUGUGCCAAUGACUAUCUUUUAGUGAGUGUAUCUCAAUGAAUGCAUCAGUAAAAAAGUGUCUGUCAGUCAAAGUGUGGCAUUGACAGGAAGGGGUGGGGAAUAUGAGGGGGAGGAGAGGGGUGCCCGAGCAUCAUCCUGCCUAGGGCAGCACAAAUCCAAAAAUACACCACUGAACAUAGGCCCAGCAAGCCAAUCUGGCAAAUUCCAAUGAUCAAAUAUGGAAAAAGGGAAAGCACUACAUUUGACCCCUGUAAGUUUGCAAAAAAACAAAAAACAAAACAUAAAAUCUGUACAUUGGGGGCACUGUUGUACUUGGGAGAUGUUGCUGAACACAUAUUGGGGUGUUCUUUGUCAGUAACACAUAACAGGAACUGAUAAUCCAUGCCUAAAGUACAAUGUGAGAGAAAAAUAACACAAAAAAAUGACUACCCAAAGGUUUGACAAAGACUGGUGGUAGAAUUAGUGCAUGGAAAUUGUUAAAAUACCACCAUUUCAAAUUCCCUAGGGUUUCUACUUUUCAAAAAUAUAUGGUCUGAUGGGGGUAAAUUACAUUGGCUGGGUUCAAACAUGUCCCAAAUAGGACAUGGGUGGUGGUUGACCAGCUGUGAAAAUUCCAAAUUGAAAAACUGGAGUGUGCACCCUCCAAAUAAGAUCUUUUAGCCCCCAGAGAACCCAACACACCUAUCACUGCACUCGAGAGAUGUUGUUGAACUAAUAUUGGGGUGUUCUACUGUACUAAUAGCUCUAUAACUUUCCAAAAAAAACUAAAACAUAUUCACAUUAGGCAUUUCUAAACUCAGGACAAAAUUUAGAAAUAGUGUUUUUAUGUGUUUUUUGGCGGUUGUAGAUGCGUAACAAAUUUUGGGGGUCAAAUUAAAAAAAAGUGUGUUUUUUUCAUCAUAUUUUAUAAUUUUUUAUAAUAAGUUAUAUGAUAUGAUGAAAAUAAUGGGAUCUUUAGAAAGACGAAUUAAUGGCAAAAACAAUGGUAUGUAAUAUGUGUGAUACAAUAAAUGAGUGAGAGGAAGAUUACAGCUAAACACAAACACCGUAGAAAUGUAAAAAGAGCCCUGGUCCUUAACGGUAGGAAAAUUGUAAAACGGUAUGGUCACUAAGGGGUUAAUAACAUUUUUCACUUCAUGAAGCUGUAUAUACUUUAUUUUCCCCUUUCAAUGUGCCAGUGUAGAAUAAGCCCUUAUUUAGGGCAUUUUCCAUUUUUUUUUGGUAUUUAUUGUUUCUAGGGUUCAGACCCGUUGGUGGAUCUGGUGCUGACCACUAUGUCCCAAACCCAAUAAGUUCUUCAUUUUUUAUUCCCCAGAGAGAUGAUCUCCACUGGACCCCAGGAAGAGUACCCACACCAGCUAUCCCAAAGGUAGUUAAGCUGGAUGAUCCUAAAAAAAAUAAAACACAAGAAAUAAAAUUAAUUUGUGAUUCUGUUUGCUAGAAUGUGUAGAUUUGUGAUUCUGUUAGUGUGUAUUUAUAUCUGUCAGUGAGUGUCUGUCAGUGAGUGUCUGUCAGUGAAUGCAUUUCAAAUCAGUGAGACAGUGUGUCUGUCAUUGACACAGUGUGUCCGUGUGUCUAUCAGUGUGUGUCUGUCAGUGGUUGACUGUUAAUGAGUGUUUGUCAGUAAGUGUGUCUUUCAGUGUGUGUGUGUGUGUCUGUCAGUGAGUGUGUUUCAAAUCCGUAAGAUUGUGUAUCUGUCAUUGAAAGUGUGUCAGUGUGACUGUGAGUGAAUGUGUGUCUAUCAGUGAUUGUUUUUGUCAGUGAGUGCUAUUGUCAUUGAGUCUGUCUGUCAGUGUGUGUCAAAUCAUUGAGUGUGUGACUGUCAAUGAGUGUGUCUGUAAGUUAGAGUGUGUAUCAGUGUGUUUAUCAGUAAGUGUGUCUUUCAGUCAGUGUCAAUUCAAUAAGUAUUUGUCUCUCAUUGACAGGGGGCAUUAUGCAUUUUCUAUUUUUGAUAACAACUGAAGUUCCAUCUUCUGUACUGGUUUAGAGGCCAGCAGCCAAGAGAAGGGAUCCUGGUUUAGGCACCCCUCUACACCCCCAACAUUCAAAGAGGAGACACCUUAAAGUGACAUGCAACAGUCAUCAUCCUGUGAGUGCAACUCUGCUUGUGCAUACAGUUGCAAGAUAAAGUAUGUGAACCCUUUGGAAUGAUAUGGAUUUCUCCACAAAUUGGUCAUAAAAUGUGAUUUGAUCAUCAUCUAAGUCACAACAAUCACAGUCUGCUUAAACUAAUAACACACAAAGAACGAAAUGUUGCCAUGUUUUUAUUGAACACACCAUGUAAACAUUCACAGUGCAGGUGGAAAAAGUAUGUGAACCCUUGGAUUUAAUAACUGGUUAAACCUCCUUUGGCAGUAAUAACUUCAACCAAACAUUUCCUGUAGUUGCAGAUCAGACGUGUACAAUGGCCAGGAGUAAUUCUUGACCAUUCCUCUUUACAGAACUGUUUCAGUUCAGCAAUAUUCUUGGGAUGUCUGGUGUUAAUCGCUUUCUUGAGGUCAUGCCACAGCAUCUCAAUCGGGUUGAG
rnacentral:lncRNA from 1 species